CUCCGUGACACGCCUGCCGGGACAGUUUUACACGUACAAGUUGAGGAAUUCAUGUAAGAACCUUAAAGUUCCUGUUUUGUGGGUUUUUUUGUUUCAGUCGAGGAUGCUCUUACUUCUCAGAUUCUGAGAACAAUUUCAACAGAAAACAAAAAUAAAACAAGCCCGGCAACACUCCUGCCAGCAACUCGGAGUACAUAGCCAGUCGUUUUCUGCUCAGUAAAAUCUUUCCCAAAGAUGGCAAAUUGAGAGGAGAGCUCGUCUAGAUGAAUCCCGUCAUUGUGGACGGAUAGAGAAGUCAGCUGGAUCUCUGGGGGCCUUUCAAAGCAGCCAACGUGCACCCAAUACCGUAAUUCCCAGAAAAAGCAACCAAGAAGUUUUAUCCAAGGCACAGUGGACAAGAUGGAACCACCAAGACCUGUGUUGAUGACCUAGAGCUGGUCCAAUUACUCAAGAACUAAUGUGAGUGAGAAAACUGAUUUGUGAUUUUCUGAUAGAUCCAAAUCCUGGGUACUGCAUGUCUUAAAGAUAUGAUAGUGAAAAUGAAUCUCAGGGUGAACUUGCAACACAUCAACAUGGAUGCCAACAUGGUCCUGGCUGGAAUCCACAGCCCACACCGGGCAGCCAUGCACUGA